AGUGGCGGACGGGUGAGUAACACGUAAGAAUUUGCCUUUAGGAGGGGGACAACAGCUGGAAACGGCUGCUAAUACCCCAUAUGCUUUCGAGUGAAAUGGAUUUCCGCCUGAAGAGAAGCUUGCGGCUGAUUAGCUUGUUGGUGAGGUAAUGGCUCACCAAGGCGACGAUCAGUAUCUGGUUUGAGAGGACGAUCAGACACACUGGAACUGAGACACGGUCCAGACUCCUACGGGAGGCAGCAGUGGGGAAUUUUCCGCAAUGGGCGAAAGCCUGACGGAGCAAUACCGCGUGAGGGAUGAAGGCCUAUGGGUUGUAAACCUCUUUUUUCAGGGAGGAACAAAAUGACGUGUACCUGGAGAAUAAGCAUCGGCUAACUCCGUGCCAGCAGCCGCGGUAAGACGGGGGAUGCAAGUGUUAUCCGGAAUCACUGGGCGUAAAGCGUCUGUAGGUGGUUAAGUAAGUCAACUUGUUAAAUCUUGAGGCUCAACCUCAAAAUCGCAGUCGAAACUGCUUGACUAGAGUAUAGUAGGGGUAAAGGGAAUUUCCAGUGGAGCGGUGAAAUGCGUAGAUAUUGGAAAGAACACCGAUGGCGAAGGCACCUUACUGGGCUAUUACUAACACUGAGAGACGAAAGCUAGGGUAGCAAAUGGGAUUAGAUACCCCAGUAGUCCUAGCUGUAAACAAUGGAUACUAGAUGUU
rnacentral:rRNA from 1 species